UUGUAAUUGGAAUGAUGGGAAUUUAAACCUCUUCCAGAGUAUCAAUUGGAGGGCAAGUCUGGUGCCAGCAGCCGCGGUAAUUCCAGCUCCAAUAGCGUAUAUUAAAAUUGUUGCAGUUAAAAAGCUCGUAGUUGAAUUUCUGCUGCAUUGUUUCUUCUCAUGUCGAGUGAUUCAUUGUGGCUUAUUUCGGAUUGUUUUUUACUUUCCGGAUGAUUACUUUGAGAAAAUUAGAGUGCUCAAAGCAGGCUUUUGCCUUGAAUAGUUUAGCAUGGAAUAAUAAAGUAGGACUUUGGUUCUAUUUUGUUGGUUUUAGGUACCAAAGUAAUGGUUAAUAGGAACAGUUGGGGGCAUUCGUAUUUAACUGUCAGAGGUGAAAUUCUUAGAUUUGUUAAAGACGAACUACUGCGAAAGCAUUUGCCAAGGAUGUUUUCAUUAAUCAAGAACGAAAGUUAGGGGAUCGAAGACGAUCAGAUACCGUCGUAGUCCUAACCAUAAACUA
rnacentral:rRNA from 1 species